CUUCAGCGAGCCGAGCCGCAGCGGCGGCCGCCCGUCGCGGUCCUGACCGUAGGUGGCCAGCAGGGCAUCCGCCUC
rnacentral:antisense_RNA from 1 species